UAUAAUUAGAUAUUUUUAAAGUUAAAUUCAGUUCAAUUAAAUCACUUCAAUAGCAUGUUCCAUUCGUAUUACAUGUUUUAGUAUAGCUAAAGUUAUUUCUAAAAAUCACCAGAAAGUAUCCAGGUGAUUUUACUCUAGUCUGUAUUGGUGUGAAUGUGUUUCCACAUUGUAUGACCAGUUAUGGUGAUUUCACCCGCUCUGCACUAUUGUGAAUUUGUUUCUAUAGUGUAUGACUAGAUUAUCAGAAGUCUUUGGGAUCUACUUUCGUACACAAAUAGGCUUUGGGCCGUGUACUAGGGUGAUUAGCCUUUGGGGUGGCUCUGCGUACGUAUGACCAGAUUAUCAGAUUGUCAGAUGUGAAUGGACUUGCCUUGUACAUCAAGAUUACUCUGUACAUGAGUAAGGAGAUCGUUGAUUUUGAGAUACUUAGAAAAGCCUUCUGAAGUGAAAGAGACUGUUUCAUAGUAUGUAAUGUAUAGUUGGGAACUCAUGUUUAUUUAGUACUUGGUCUAAUAUUUUGUUUGACGUGUAUUUCAUAGAAGGGUUUGUAAUUGAUGUAAUACUUGCUUGUAGACAUGAUGCUGAUGUAGAAGUACUCAGUCGAGUUUAGUUGUAUUUUGUUUUAGUUGUGGUGAUAUUAGUGGAAGUGGUGGUUUUCAAAACUUUUGGUUUGAAUGUCUAUAUGAGGUUUUGUUGAUUUUU